GGUCCCAUCGUCUAGUGGCCUAGGACACCGGCCUCUCACGUCGGUAACACGGGUUCGAGUCCCGUUGGGACCGCCA
rnacentral:tRNA from 1 species